UACGGAGGGUGCGAGCGUUGUCCGGAAUCACUGGGCGUAAAGGGCGCGUAGGCGGCGCGGAUAGUCGGCGGUGAAAGCCCCGGAGCUCAACUCCGGGUCGGCCGUCGAUACUUCCGGGCUUGAGCACUGUAGAGGCAGAUGGAAUUCCGGGUGUAGCGGUGGAAUGCGUAGAGAUCCGGAAGAACACCGGUGGCGAAGGCGGUCUGCUGGGCAGUUG
rnacentral:rRNA from 1 species